rnacentral:rRNA from 1 species
UGAGUAACACGUAUCCAACCUGCCGUCUACUCUUGGCCAGCCUUCUGAAAGGAAGAUUAAUCCAGGAUGGCAUCAUGAGUUCACAUGUCCGCAUGAUUAAAGGUAUUUUCCGGUAGACGAUGGGGAUGCGUUCCAUUAGAUAGUAGGCGGGGUAACGGCCCACCUAGUCAACGAUGGAUAGGGGUUCUGAGAGGAGGGUCCCCCACAUUGGAACUGAGACACGGUCCAA